CAAUUACAUGUAAUUUUUUUCAUUUUUUAAAUUUUGCAUGUCUUUUUAAAAAUAAUAAUUGAUUAAUUUACCUUUUAAAAUACUUUCCUAUGUUUCCAUGAUUCAUUUUUUUUCCCUCCCUUCUUUUCUACUCCCUCCCAGAGCCAACAAACAAUUCCACUGGGCUGUAUAAAUGUUGUCAUUUGAUACCUAUUUCCAUAUUAUUCAUUUGUGCUAUAGAGUGGUUUUUAAAAAUCUCUGCCUAUGAAUAAUUCUUCUAUCUACUAUGAUAGUGAAAACAAUUUUUAAGAGCUACAGAUACUAUUUUUCCAUAUAAGAAUAUAAUCAAUUUGACCUCACUGAAGCCCUUAAAAAUUUUCCCCCUCUUUCUUAUUUACCUUUUUACAGUUCUUUUGAAUUUUGUAUUUGGAAAUAAAAUUUUCCAUUUAGUUCUGAUCUUUUCUUUAGGAAUGCUUGGAAAUCUUCAAUUUUGUUAAAUGGCCAAACUUUUCCCCGAAAGUAUAUAGUCAGUUUUGAUGGGUAGGUGAUUUUUGGUUGUAGACCCAGUUCCUUAGCCUUCCAGAAUAUCAUAUUCCAAGCCUUCUGAUCCUUCAAUGUCAAAGCUGCCAGAUUCUGUGUAAUCCUGUAAUCCUGAUAUCUGAAUUGUUUGUUUCUGAAUGCUUUGCAGUGUUUUCUCUUUGGCCUGGAAGCUCUUGAACUUGGCUAUAACAUUGCUGGUAGUUUUCAUUUGGGGAUUUAAUGCAGGAGGUGAUCUGUGGAUUCUUUCAAUAUCUAUUGUGCCCUCUUGUUCAAGAAUAUCAGGGCAGUUUUGUUGGAUAAUUUCUUAUAAUAUGUUGUCAAGACUUUUGUUCCAGGCUUUCAGGUAGACCCAAUUAUUCUCAAAUUGUCUCUCUUGGAUCUGUUUUCCAAGUCAGUUGUCUUUUCAAUGAAAUAUUUCAUUUUUUAAUUUUGCUUUAUUAAUUCUUGCUGUCUUGUGAUAUCAUUAGCUUCUACUUGCCCAAAUCUAGUCUUUAAAGACAGAUUUUCAGCUAUGAUCUUUUGAUGUUCCUUUUUGGCUUGAUCUAUCCUGCAUUUUUCAUGGAUAUCAGCAGGUCAAUUCUGGUCUCCAAUUUGCUUAUUACUUAAUUUAUUUCUGUACCUCUUUUUCCAUAUGGAUAAUUUUGUCUUUUAAGCUGUUAUUUCUUUUUGUAUUACUUUAAUUUCUUUUUCCCACUUUUCUUUCCAUUUUUCUUAAGAUCUUUCUUACUUGGUUCUUGAACUCCUUUUUGAGUUCCUCAAGAGUUUGUGACCAAUUUCCAUUUUUUUUGGAAAGUUUGGAUGUAUUUGCUUGUCUGUCACUCUCUGCUAUUUUGUAUCUGUAUUUUGCUCUUUUUCUCCAUAGAAAUUAUCCAGGAUCAAGAACACAUGUGAUACCCAGAGGAAUCACGCAUCUCCAAUGGGAGGGGUGGUGGGAGGGGGAGGGGAGGAAAAGAAAAUGAUCUUUGUUUCUAAUGAAUAAUGUUUGAAAAUGACCAAAUAAAAUAAUGUUUAAAAGGAAAAAAAAUAAAUGAAUGCUACAUAUUGUUAUGAGGAAAAAAAAAGAAAUUAUCCAAGGUCAAGAGCUUUUUUUUUUUGCUGCCACUUAUUCCUUUUACCACUAGUAGAUUGGGGUUCCUGUAUGUUGAUUGUUUCUUAGCUUCUGUCUCACAGGGCUUUGCCUUGUGACUAUCUUCAUUGCUCAGUCAGAAGCCUGAGUGAGGGCAAGUAAAUCUGUGAUGUUUUGUGUAGCAUGCUUUAAAGCAUUUUGCUCUGAGGCUACCUUUCCAGUCCUUGCUGCCUUGUCUGUGGCCAGCCUUGUUUCUGCCCAAGCUCUGUGCUCUGCUGCCCAGGCUCCAUGCUCUUCAGCUUCAAGACUUAAGUCGGGCUGCUAAGGCCUUGCACUGCCUUCAGGGGUUAGUCUACGGUGCUUUCAGCCACCCUCAAGAAUUUAGAUUGCUUGGCCUUUGCUCUGACUCUGGUGUGGGACAGGGGUGAUAAGCUUGCACUUUGAUAAGUGCAGUUUCACCUCCUUAUAGCAGUGGGAAUUCCAAAACACUGUCUACCUCCAAGGCUGAGUCCAGUGGGGAACCCCUUUACUCCAUAUGAUUUUGAUUUCUGUCCUUUUGAAAUACUUUGUAAUAAUCAGUUGGAAGAAGAUUCAGAAGGCUCUUGCUACUAUGCUGCCAUCUUAGCUCUGUCUUUCUGUAAAAUAUUUUUAAGCAUUCAUUUUUUUUUUAAACCCUUACCUUCCAUCUUGGAGUCAAUACCGUGUAUUGGCUCCAAGGCAGAAGAGUGGUAAGGGCUAGGCAAUGGGGGUCAAAUGACUUGCCCAGGGUCACACAGCUGGGAAGUGUCUGAGGCCAGAUUUGAACCUAGGACCUCCCGUCUCUAGGACUGGCUCUCAAUCCACUGAGCUACCCAGUUGCCCCCUAAGCAUUCAUUUUUUACACAUUUGAGUCCCAAAUUCUCUCCUUCCCUCUUGCUCUUCCUUCACUUUUUGAGGAGGCAAGCAAUAGUAUAUUGAUUAUAUAUAUGAAGUCGUGUAAAACAUUUUCAUGUUAGCCAUGUUGCAAAAGAAAACUUACAUACAACACAAUACACACAUACACACAAAUAAAAAAAGAAAAAUAAAGUAAAAAAAAUAUAGUAUUGUUCAACAAAUACUCAGAGUUCUCCAGUUCUCCCUCUGGGGAAGGAUAGGACUUUUCAUCUUGGGUCCCUUGAAACUGUCAUGGAUCCUCUUCUUGGUCAGAGUAGCUCAGCCUUUUAUAGCUAUUGUUGUUUGGUCAUUUCAUUAGUGUUCAACUCUUUGUGAUAUCAUUUGGGUAUCUUGGCAAAGAUACUAGAAUAGUUUGCCAUUUCCUUUUCCAGUUCAUUUGACAGAGGAGGUAGACUUAAAUGACUUGCUUAGGGUCACAGAGCUAAUAAGUGUCUGAGACCAUAUUUGAACUUAGAAAGAUGAGUCUUCCUGUCUACUGAGCCAGCUAACUGCCAAAAUUGACCAUCCUUAAAUAUUGCCAUUACUGAGUACAGUGUUCUUCUGGUUCUGCUUACUUUACUUUGCAUCAGUUCAUACAAGACUUCCCACAUUUUCUGAAACCAUUCUGUUUAUCAUUUUUUAUAGUACAGUAGUUUUCCUUCACAAUUAGAUACUAUAAAUUGUUCAGCCAUUCUCCAAUUGAUGGGCAUCCCCUCAAUUUCCAAGACUUUUCCUCACAAAAAGCUGCUUUUAAACCUUUUGGUAUAAAUAGGUCCUUUUUUCCUUUUGUAAGAAUUUAUUUUUCAUAUACUGUUAAUUCCUAUAUAUUCAAGAAAAUUACCAUGUAUUCUUCUGUUUGGAAUCUGAGUCAGAGAUAUAAUUUAGUCUGUUACUUUUUGCUUUUCCUUUGUCCUUGGAAAUCCCAAAGAAUGUCUUCCUUUUAAACAGAAUUUUGUUAAUAAAUUAAGGUGAAAAGGGUUCUUUUCUGGUGGACAUAACCUGUCUGCUUAUGGACAUGGAAAGGGGUGCAUAGUCUGAUGGACCACCCCUUAAUUAUCUAUCACUAAUUAAAAAUGUCUUGGGAUGUUCAAGGGACGGGCUCAAUAAUGAGCUAAAAAUUUAGUCAUCUUGGAAUAAGAGAGCCAUAGAGACCUAUAUGACUUUAUUGGUUUUGAUGCUGGCCUAACCAAUAAACUUUAUAUAAUCAAUAAACUUAUAUUCUUACUCAAAAGUCAGUCUCUUGAGAUAACUUUAAUCAUAACACACUUCUUUGAUCUUUUUGGAACACACACCUAGCACUGGUAUUGCUAGAUCAAGGGCUAUAUAUACAUAUAUUUAUAGCAUUUGAGGCAUGGUUCCAAAUUGUUCCCUAGAAUUGUUGGACUAGUUCUUCACCAACUUCACCAACACUGCAUUAGGGUUCUGAUUUUUUCCAUAUCCUCUCCAGCAUUUGUCAUGAGUUGUGAGGUUUCUGGUGUCCUCCCAAUAUAAGCAUGCAUCUCCCUUUUACAGAUAAGCCUCAGGCCUUGUUCUUACCCAGUCAGAAGGUGAGGUUAAAUAGCAAAUAGGGGUUCAGAAUAGUACAUUUUCACAAUGUAAGAUGAGCUAUGGCUAAAGUUGAGCAAUUUUUGUCAAAUGAUGAGUACUUAACCCGAAAGCUUGAAUCUUUGAGUUUAUCAAAUACUAAAUUCCUAUGAUCUUUUUUUUUUAACUAGUACUAAUCAGUUUUCUGACAAUACAUAAUUAAUCAAAAUUUACUAGCAUUUAAGCCAUGUUGGGAGGAAAGGCACACCAUCACCCACAACAACACAUUUAAUAGUCUGCAUUGCUGAAGUCUUUUUGUAUCCACUUUCAAUAUUUCAAAUCCAAUGUAAUCUUGUUCCAGAUUUCUGCUGGAUGUGAGAUUUCUUUUUUUUUUUUUAAACCCUUACCUUUCAUCUUGGAAUCAACACUAUGUAUUGGUUCCAAGGCAGAAGAGUGGUAAGGGCUAGGCAAUGGGGGUUAAGUGACUUGCCCAGAGUCACACAGCUGGGAAGUGUCUGAGGUCAGAUUUGAACCUAGGACCUCCCAUCUCUUGGCCUGGCUCUCAAUCCACUGAGCUACCCAGCUGCCCCCCAGAUGUGAGAUUUCUAUCUUGGAUCAGCAGCUCAAACCUCCAGGAACCAGGAGGAAAGAAUCUAAUCCCUAUGGUCUUUUGAUAGUAUAUAUUGUGAUCCACCACUCUAUUUCUUAGCCAAUACCAGGUUGUUUUGAUGAUUAUGGCAUUGUAAUACAGUUUGAAAUCUGGUACUGCUAGACUGAUUUCCUUCACCUUUUUUUUUUCAUUGUAUCCCUUAAUAUUCUUGACUUUUUGUUCUUCUGGAUGAAUUUUGUUAUAUUUUCUAGCUCUAUAAAAUACUUCUUUGGUAGUUUGGCAUGACAGCAAAUAAUCUAAAUAGAAUUAUAAAUUUUAAUGUACUGACUUGACCUACCUAUAAGCAAUUACUAUUUUUUUCUCCAGUUGUUCAGACCUGUCUUUAUAUUUGUAUGAAAAGGGUUUUGUAAUUGGGUUCUUUUACUCCCUAGAUUUUUUCUUGGCAAAUAAACUCCCAAGUAUUUCAGAAUGUGAGCAGUUAUUUUAAGUGGAAUUUCUCUUAUCUUGUUUUGGUGGGUUUUGUUGGCAAUAUAUAGAAAUGCUAAUGAUUUAUGUGAGUUUCUUAUAUAUCUUGAAACUUUGCCAAAGUUGUUGAUUAUUUCAAGUACUUUUUUAGUUGAUUCUCUGGGUUCUCCAGGUAUACCAUUUUAUCAUCGGCAGAGUUUUGUUUCCUUGUUAUCUAUUCUAAUUCCUUCAAUUUCUUUUUCUUGUCAUUGCUAUUGCUAGCAUUUCUAAUACUGUAGCGAAUAAUAGUGGUCAUACUAGACAUUCUUGCUUCACUCCUGAUCUUAUGGGAAAGGCUUUUAAUAAAGUAUUCCCAUUACAAAUAAUGCUUGCUUUUGGUUUUGGAUAGAUACUCCUUAUCAUUUUUUAAAAGGCUGUAUAUAUUCUCAUGAUUUCUAGUGUGUUUUUUUUUUAAUAGGAAGGGGUGUUGUAUUUUGUCAGAUCGUUUCUGCAUCUAUUGAUAUCAUAUAGUUUUUAUUUUUGUUAUUUACAUGGUCAUUUAUGCUUAUAGUUUUCCUAAUAUUAAACUAAUACUGCCUUCCUGAUGUUAAUACCACUUAGUCACAGUGUAUGAUCUUUGCACAAAUUGCUAUAAUCUCCUUAUUAAUAUUUAAUAAACAUUUUUACAUCAGUAUUCAUUAGGGAAAUUUGUAUAUAAUUUUAUUUUUGUUUUUGUUCUCCCUGGUUUAGGUAUUGAAACCUUAUUUGUAUCAAAAAAUCAAUUUUGUAGAACUCCUUCUUUAAUAGUUUGUCUAUUACUGAAAUUAAUUGUUCCUUAAAUGCUUGAUAGAAUUCACUUGUAAAUCCAUUUUAUCUUGGGGAUUUUUUCCUUAAGGAGCUUAUUUGUGACUUUCAAUUCCUUUUUUGAAGAUAAAGAUACUUAAAUAUCUAUUUGCUCUUCGGUUAAUCUGGGCAAUUUAUAUUUUUGUAAAUAUUCACCUAUUUUGCUUAGAUUGUUUUUUACCAGCAUAUAUUUGGGCAAAAUUGCUCCUGGUAAUUGUUUUAAUUUCAUCUUCAUUGGUGAUGCAUUCAAGUCUUUUCAGUUUCAACACUGGUAGUUUGGUUUUUCUUUUUUCCUUUUUUAUAAAAAAUCAAAUUAAACAAUGGUUUAUCUAUUUUAUUUGUAUAUUUUCUUUGUAUUUAUUUUUGAAGUAGCUUUAUUCGAUAUUUGCUCGUCUCAGCCAAGGUCCCAGCCAUAAGUGUAUCUUGGGGGUGGGUUAUUUAGCAUAAAACCAACUCUUAGUUUUAUUUAUGAGUUCAGUAGGGUUUUUUUUUUACUUUGAAUUUUAUUAAUAAUCUCUCCUUUGAUUUUCAUGAUUUCUGUUUUGCUGUCUAUUUUUUAAUUUGUUCUUUUUCUAGUUUUUUAAUGGUAUGUACAUCAUUGAUUUACUAUUUUUCUCUUCUAUUGAUGUAUGUGUUUAGGAAAGGUUUUUUUUAAAUGAUUUUAUAAAUGCACAAAUAUAAUGUCAGGAAACUCCAGUCUCUGCGACAUAUCAAUAUUUAUUUUGUGAUAGGUUUGAACUUGUUAAAGGGCACAAAGAUUUUAGAAAAUAGAGUGAUUGGUGAGUUCAACCAAUCAGACCAAAGGAGUCCCUUGAUGGAUGAUGGAGAGUCCCUUGAUGGGUGGUGGUUAUAGCUGUAAAAUUAAAGUCCUAUUGGUCCCCCCCCCCAAAAAAAAAACUGUGGGAAAAAGAACACUGGAAUUGAAGUCAGUGGAACUGGAGUCAAAUCCCAGCUUUGUGCCUAUGUAUUAUUAUGGCAAGUUAGUUCAUAUAUUGAGGACUCUGUUGCUCUAAUUCUAACACAAAGGGGUUGUACAAGAUGAUCUUCCAAUGCCUCUCCAAAACUAAAUUUCUCUAAGUUCUAUGUGUUACAAUGAAAGGUUAUAACUCCUAAUAAAGGGGGAUAAUUUUUAAAUGCUGCCUACUUGGCAUAAAACUUCGGUCUUUCCUCUGCUCCCUUGUUGGCCAGUCAUAUUCUACAUUCUUGAGUUUACAGGAUAAAUAUCCUUUGGGUGAGAUGUAACUGUUUUGAAAGAUGUAUUGUUGCCAUCUUUGGUAGCCAAAGGCUUUACUCCCUGCAAUAGGAUUUGAUCUGCUUCUGGGUUUCUGUCCUAAGUCCCUCAUGCAGAUGGUGAACCUCUUUCCCUGGCAAUGAAGGCCUGGCAGCCAUGCCACCUGAGGUGCUAACAUGUCCAGGUAGGGAAGAAGCAGGUCACACCUCAUGUGCCAGUCAGCUGUGGGGUCAGGUCUUUAGAGGCUACUGCACCUCCAGCCUGAGCAAAUAGGGAAUCUCAAAAACAAAACAAAACAAAACCCAUACAUUGACUAUUAUAUUAGCUUAAAGGCUAAGUAGACUAAAAUUACUACAGAUCACAUUUCCAAUUACUUGACCAUCUUGUUAGGGCCAAUACAUUAUUGUUCUAGGUGUUUAUCCAUCAAAACAUUUUACUAAUAGUGUUGUAUAAAAAUCUGAUUACUAAUAUUCAAAUCUGUUUGCUUUCACUUUUCAGGUGGAUCUACUUACAGGCUCUCCUAACCUUUAUAAGACAGAUUUGAUAGUUUUGAGAUAAUUAACUCCCUCCCUCCCCACCUGACUGCACACUGCACCAGGAUCAUUUUAACUACUUUUUAAUUUGUUUUUAGUAUUUCCCCUUUGGUCUCUAGCUGGACAGCAGUGCAUUUCUUUUGGAGCCGUCCAGAGGUCUCCCUGAGGGUGAGGGUUCACUCCAUCUAGAUGUGACAAUCUCAUCAAGUAAUGGAGAUGAGAAGCACUGUGUGCUCCAGCCCACAUGCAUAGGCAUCACACAGGGUUCUGCCAUAGCACAGAGAUUUGUUUAUUAUAUAGGUUGGUGAUUACAUACUUCUUUGGCAUACAAUCAAUUUUCUAUAUAUAUGCUUCUAUGAUAAUAAGACACAUAGCCUAAGGAGAUGAUAGUCAAUGAAACAUUGUUGCUAUAGAUGAAUGACAUAAACAGGGUGAUCUAGAGGUUAGUUCUCCCAUUGUUACUUUUGGUCAGCUUUCACAAUCAAUCACAAUUACUUAGGAGAUGGGUAACAAAACAUUUCAUAGCUAGGUACAAGGUUAGAGGGCAAUUUAAUGACAGACCAGAUUUGGGGUUUUCCUCAAUUUACAAGUUCUAUUUUUCUUGUGUUACUUUAAAGCACCUGGCAAUGUUGCCUGGUUUCUAUCUAUAAACAGAAUUCAGUGGAGUCUGUCUUGAAGGUGAUUGAUGUUCUUGGCUUGCCUGGCUUGUAAUGGGAGUGAAUGUGGCUCUGUGAAGAAGGAAGGGAGGGGGGCAAUAGGUAGUGAUCUCUAGGUUUUAAUUCUGUGAAUGUAAUCUUUUAGGGUAAUUGUCUGGGAGGAAUUAAGGUGGGAUAUAUGUGUAUUGAUAAGUAUUUGCUCUCAUAUUAUUUCUCCUGUAUUGGGGAGAGAAUAAUAAUCAUAACAAGUCCAUUAGUAAGGGAAAUUAGAGAGAAAGAAGUCACAGAGGAGGAUCAGUGAGGGCCUCAUUCUCUGGGGGGUUGCCUUGCAGACCCCAUUUCCCCAGACUGUGACCUUGUCAGUCAGCCAGGGUAUGAUGGCCUCCAGCAGAAUUUGUUUAUUUUAAUAUUUUUUUCUUUUAAAUGUCAAAAAUAAUUUUCAUUAGGACCUAUUGAUUUUAUAAAAGUUGCUCCUGGAUAUCUCUCUCCUUCAUCUUCCUUUCCUUUCACCUGACUCUCUAUCAACUCUCACUUUUAAAAAAAAUUAAGAAAAUAAUCCUUGCCUUUUGUCUUAGAAGCCAUUUGAGAGCAGAAGAGUGAUAAGGGCAAGGGAAAGGGUUAAGCAAUUUGUCCAGGGUCAUACAGAUAGGAGGUGUCUAAGGCCAGAUUAGAACCCAAGUCCUCCUAGAUCUGGUGCUCUAUCACUGUGUUACCUAGCUGUACUAACUUACCCUUUUAUUUAUUUGUUUGUUUAUUUAUUCAUAUCUUAUUUUAUUUCUUAAUAAAAAAUUUCCACAUAAGUUUUUUCCAAAGUUAUAUGAUCCAAAUUGUCUCCCUCCCUCCUUUUCCAAACCCCUCCUAGAGUUGGCAAGCAAUUCAAUCUGGGUUAUGCAUGUAUUAUCAUGGAAAAGGUAUUUCCAUAUUGUUCAUUUUUGUAGGUGAAUAAUCUUCUAAAACCAAAACCCCAAAAUAUAUGCACAAAUAAACAAAUGAAAAAUUGUAGGCUUUUAUCUGCAUUCUUAUUCCAACAAUUCUUUCUCAGAUCAACUCAUUCUUUUAAAGAAAUAAGGAAAAAUAAUCAUGACAAUGACUGCAACUGACAAAAUAUGCAACAUGUUGCUUCCAAGUUCCUCACCAUAAGGUAAAUGAGAUGAACUCAUCCAUAAAACGGAAGCAGAGAGAAGAAUGGAUUAAAAGCCAGAAUCCUGCCAUAUGUUGUUUACAAGAAACACACAUGAGACAGAAAGACACAAGAGUAAAGGGUAAGGGGAUGGAGCAGAAUCUACUGGGCUUCAACUGAGACCAAAAAAAAAAAAAAGCAGGAGUAGUAAUCAUGAUCUCAGAUAAAGCUAAAGCAAAAAUAGAUCUGAUUAAAAGAGAUAAGGGAGAUAAUUAUAUCUUGAUAAAAGGCAUUAUAGACAAUGAAGAAAUAUCAGUACUUGACAUAUAUGCACCAAAUGAUAUAGCAUCCAGAUUCUUAAAGGAGAAACUAAAGGAGCUUAAGGAGGAAAUAGAUAACAAAAUCCUACUAGUGGGGGGACUCAACCUUCCCCUAUCAGAACUAGAUAAAUCUAAUUUUAAAAAAUAUGAAAGGAGUAAAAAAAGGGAAUGAAAUUUUAGAAAAAUUGGGUUUAAAAGAUAGCUGGAGAAAACUGAACCAGGAUAAAAAAGAAUAUAUCAUGCUAUCCACAUUAAGAGAAAGAACUAUGGGAGUAGAAAUACAAAAGCAAAACAUAUGGCAUCACUUAUUACAUAUAUGUGUGUGUGUGUGUGUGCGCGUGCGAUUUGGGGUUUAGACUUUAAAAAAUUACUAUAUAACAACAAUGAAUCAUCUGGAAAUGGGUACCAAGUGAUAACAUUUGUAUAACCCAGUGGAAUUGCUUGUCACCUCUGGGAGCAGGGAGGAAAGAAAGGAGGGAAAGAAAAUGAAUCAUGUAAGUAUGGAAAAAUAUUAUUAAAAAGGAUAUAUCUUCUUUUCAACAGCACAUGCUAUAUAUACAAAAAUUGACCAUGUACUAGGGCAUAAAAUGAAAUCACAACCAAAUGCAGAAAGGCAAAAAUUAUAAAUGCAACUUUUCCAGAUCAUAAUGCAACAAAAAUUAUAAUCGAUAAGGGUUCAUGGAAAAGCCAAGUUCCUCACCUUUUAGAGGAAAAGAGGGAAGUACAUUUCAUUCUCUUUUCUAUGGGACCAUUAUUGGUUUCUUUUCUAUUUAGACAGCUCUAUUUAUAUGUGUACACAGCAUUUUUAUUUAGGUUGGAUCUUAACUGCUAUGUCAGGCUUGUCUCUCCACUUCGAAACAAUUCAUGUCUUGGCUUUUGAACCCUCUCCAUUUGAAUUUCAGCUCUGAUUAUUAGGUUGAAGUAGCCUCUAUUUAUGCUUUGGUGCUUUUUUUUUCUUUCUGGUGGUUAAUGGAAAUGUUCAUCCCAGGUCACAGACUGAGCUCAGAGGAAAUAAUGGCUGUAAUCAUUUAGGUAUUGUUAUCAUCUUAUUACUAUGCAGAGUUGUAGUAGUCCCCACCUCACCACCCUCUCAGCUGUUCAUCUGGCUCAGUAUUUCUCUGAGCUUUUCUCUCCUUACACCCCAUCUUGAGUUGGCUUUGUUAUUGCCCACAGAGGGGCAUGGAGACAUGCAAUAAGCAAAAUGUGGCAACUGUCUUUCUGCCAAAAACUAAAUGUGAAGUUACCGUUUUUUUUUAUUUUUUUCCUUCGAAACAUCCCACAGAAGCCCACAGUAGAACAAAGAGAUAUAGGGGGGACUACAUACUGCAGACUAUUAGCCAAAAUGAUUUUUAACCUCCUGUGUAAAACUGGAUGAAUCAAAAAAUGUAAACAGCUUACAGAGUGGGAGGAAUCACCUGGAAAAUGGAAGAAAAAUGUUUUUACCUAUCCAUAGUUAUUAAUGUGGGCAUGCCUUGGUUAGGGCCUUCAUGGCAGUUAUGAACCAGGGAAAGAAAACAGCUUCAUUCUGAGGGCAAAAAGUUUUUCAACUGGGAGGCAACAAACAAUUCGUAGAAAUGAUUUGUAGUUUUAUCCCAGAAUCCAUCAGUUAAUUUCGGGGGGUGUUGAACUUGAAUAGGGGAAAAAAUUAUAUCUUUCUUUUCUUUUUUUUUAAACCCUUACCUUAUGUCUUAUAAUCAAAUAUUGGUUCCAAGGUAGAAGAGUGAUUAGGCUAGGCAGUGGAGGUUAAGUGACUUGCCCAAGGUCACACAGCUAGGAAGUGUCUGAGGCUAGAACUGAACCAAGGACCUCCCAUUUCUGGGCCUGGCUCUCAAUCCACUGAGCUAUCUACCUUACCCCUAUUUUCACUCAUUUUUUAUUUCCUUUGUAAUUUCAUGUAUUUAAUUUUAUACAUUUAAAAAAAUUCAGGGGCAACUGGGUAGUUCAGUUUGUUUGAGAGUCAGGCCUAGAGAUGGGAGGCCUUGGAUUCAAAGCUGGCCUCAGACACUUCCUGGCUGUGUGACCUUGGGCAAAUCACUUAACCCCCAUUGCCUAGUCCUUCCUGUUCUUAUGCCUUGGAACCAAUACAUAGUAUUGAGUCUAAGAAAGUAAAGGUUUAAAAAAAAAACCAUUAUUCAAAGAAAAGGUCCCUAGGCUUCACCCAAAUGCCAAAGUGGGGUGAUCCAUGACACAAAAAUAGUUAAGAACAUGAUUUUCCAGACCCUCUUUUCUAACUGUAUAGAAAACUAGGGGAGCAGCAAAAGCAGUCCCUUCCUAUUCAUCACUUCUAAAGCUAUAACUAGGAAUUUCAUCUUGAAGCAAAUUUAUUUGGGGAAGGGACCUCUGAUGAAGGUUAAAGUAGUUGGAAGAUAGGCGUCAUGGGAAUUGAAGAGAUUGAGGACCUGGAAGUCUAGGGUGUUUGAAGAGGGUAGGAAUCAGGGUCAGUUAAUUAUUCAUUUGUUGGAGAGGGGGAUCUGGUCAGUCAAGCAGUCAAUAAACACUUAUUAAAACCUACUAUGGAUAAGUGCUGGGGACACAAGAAGUCAGAAUACAAUCUUUGCCCUUAAGGAACUGGGAUACAACAUGCAAACAAGAGAUAGACAGAAUCAGUUGGCAAUAAUUAACAGAGAAGGUACUAGAAUUAAGCCUUCCUUAACUGAGAUUUUAGCUGGGACUUGAAGGAAGCCAGGAGGUACCCCCAGAGAGGGAGAGGAUUCCUGGGGAGACAGCCAGUCUAAAUGCCCAAAGGCGUGAGAUGGAGUGUCUAGGGUAAGGAGUCACUGCUCUUCUCUACUCCCAAGGGGAGAAGGUUGAGUGUCCCAGGGCUCAGCUUUAUGGUGAAUGAAAAUUAAAGGGGAGGUAGCUGCUGAAUGAUGGUAGCAGACUCUGAAAGUAGAGGUACUGGUAGGGGCAAGAGCCUGCCCAUUCCUGUAUCUGUCCCCUGCAUGUGAAUUGAAGAAUGAGAGAAGAUGCCAUCAACCUUCUUCAGGGGAAAUACUAGGAGAAAGGAAUGGUGAAAUGCAAGUUAGAGGAUGAAGAGGAGCCUCCCUAUCCAUCACCUGAGGCAAACACCACUACCCAGAGCAAAUAAAUGGCAUCUGUCUCUUGUAUUCUUAAGUCUUGGAUGUAAAAGUCAUUUGGAUGCUGGCAAAAUGAAAACAACUCUCUAUGCAAGUGUAGUUGAUUCUGGUCAAACUUACUUUGAUUAUUCUCUGGAGCUUUCCUGGGUAAUCUACUCUACCUGCGAGAAAAACCCCAGUCUGGAGUUCUUGCAAACAAGGCAUUUCCCUUUCAGUCAUUGGUGGGGAUGAUCCUCUCCCUGGUCACAAAACUGCUUCUGAAACGCACGUUGACACGGGAGCUCUAGAGGCCCAUUCCCUAAUCCCAAAGGAUUUUGUAAUUCAGUAUUAUCAGUGCACUAUUUUCUGGUUCUCUCUAAGCAUUCCAAUCAGUUUUCCCACCUUUGGGGAAAGACUUAGCUGAUUUUUAAACUGAAACCUGGGAUUUUGGUUUUUCUCUACCUUAAGCCACAGAUAGUCUUUUGCAAGCAUUUGUCCAUUUUAAAUUCCUUCACUACUCCAGUAGUUCAUUUCAAAGGAGAAUCGUUUUUUGGGGGGGUCAUGACAAUCCUUAACAAUUGAUCAGAACCUACAGUAGUGCAAAUGCAAGUAACCAAAGGAGGAGGUCAGAGUGAGUUUCCAGCUCAAACCACCAGGCCCAGGAAUAUCCCGGAGUGAUGUUAAAAUGCGUACCAAGUCUACAGGCAGUCUCAGAUUCGUAGUAUCUGAGGUCCCUGCUUCUGAAGGACUUGAGAGGAGCCAUAGGGCCAGAUUAGGGAGGAAAAUGUUGUUGUUAGGCCGUGUUAACAAGUUACAACAAACAGUGUAUGUAAAUAGUAAAGCCUUUAUUUUUUGUUAAGAACAGCAUUUUGAAAAUAAAACAUAUCUGCCCAUGCUUUACAA